rnacentral:rRNA from 1 species
UGCCAGCCGCCGCGGUAAUACGGAGGAUGCAAGCGUUAUCCGGAUUCAUUGGGUUUAAAGGGUGCGCAGGCGGGCUUGUAAGUCAGUGGUGAAAUACUGCCGCUCAACGGUAGAACUGCCAUUGAUACUGCAAGUCUUGAAUAUGGUUGAGGUAGGCGGAAUGUGUCGUGUAGCGGUGAAAUGCAUAGAUAUGACACAGAACGCCAAUUGCGAAGGCAGCUUACUAAGCCAUUAUUGACGCUGAGGCACGAAAGCGUGGGGAGCGAACAGGAUUAGAUA